CCUGCAGGGGCAAACUUCGUGGGCUACCCGAGCACCGCUGAGUUUUCGGUUCGGAAAGUCGCGAGGCAGGUCCAGGGCAGGCGGCCCUGCUGUGCCGUCCCUGGGCGAGCAAACAGGCCCUGCUCACCAGCAACCAAGCAGCCACACCCCAGCGGCCUCAAUAUACUGGACAGAUGAGCCACACAGCGGCUUCACCAGCUGAGCAGCCUCUGCUCCACGAUGAUCCUGGCUUACCUCCCCAAGUCAACAUUAGUCAGAGAACAAGCUUAACUCCGCUUGCAAUCCCAGGCUCCCUUGGCCAGGAUUGAGCGACCCGAAGAAGGAGCCCCAGGACCGGAGCUUCAGGGCAGCAG